rnacentral:rRNA from 1 species
AGCGAACGCUGGCGGAAUGCUUAACACAUGCAAGUCGCACGGGCAGCAAUGUCAGUGGCGGACGGGUGAGUAACGCGUAGGAAUGUGUCCUGGGAUGGGGGAUAACGUCGGGAAACUGGCGCUAAUACCGCAUAUGGCCUGAGGGUCAAAGCCGCGAGGCGUCGUGGGAGCAGCCUGCGUUCGAUUAGCUUGUUGGUGGGGUAAAGGCUUACCAAGGCGACGAUCGAUAGCUGGUCUGAGAGGAUGAUCAGCCACACUGGAACUGAGACACGGUCCAGACUCCUACGGGAGGCAGCAGUGGGGAAUAUUGGACAAUGGGCGCAAGCCUGAUCCAGCAAUUCCGCGUGGGUGAAGAAGGUCUUCGGAUUGUAAAGCCCUUUCGACGGGGACGAUGAUGACGGUACCCGUAGAAGAAGCCCCGGCUAACUUCGUGCCAGCAGCCGCCGUAAGAC